rnacentral:rRNA from 1 species
UACGUAGGGUGCGAGCGUUAAUCGGAAUUACUGGGCGUAAAGCGUGCGCAGGCGGUUUUGUAAGUCGGACGUGAAAUCCCCGGGCUCAACCUGGGAACUGCGUUCGAAACUGCAAGGCUAGAGUGUGUCAGAGGGGGGUAGAAUUCCACGUGUAGCAGUGAAAUGCGUAGAGAUGUGGAGGAAUACCAAUGGCGAAGGCAGCCCCCUGGGAUAACACUGACGCUCAUGCACGAAAGCGUGGGGAGCAAACAGG